rnacentral:sRNA from 1 species
GUACAGGGUUUGGUUCUGGGCAGAAAAUCCAUGAUCCUGAGACUGCAGGAGGCUUUUCACAAAGUCCUGUGUCACUCUUAGGAGAAGACUGAGUCAGGGAAAAGGUGAACCCUGCAGACUGUACUAGAAGACAACGCGGGAGCACAGAGGAGACCAGGACCCAAUUCCCAGGCUGUGUGACCUUGGACACGUUACAGCUCCUCUCUGCAUUUCAGGGUUUUGUUUUGUUUUGUUUUUUGAUUUUUGGUUUUUUUUGUUUGUUUUUUUCUCGCUCUUUCACCCAGGAUGAAGUGCAGUGGCAUGAUCUCGACUCACUGCAACCUCUACCUCCUGGGUUCAAGUGAUUCUCCUGCUUCAGCCUCCCCAGUAGCUGGGACUACAGGCACGCACGAGGAUGCCAGGCCAAUUUUUGUAUUUUUAGUAGAGACGGGGUUUCACCAUGUUGGCCAGGCUGGUCUUGAACUCCUGACCUCAGGUGAUCCACCCCCUUCAGCCUCCCAAAGUGCUGGGAUUACAGGCGUGAGCCACUGUGCCUGGCUGCAUUUCAGUUUAUUUUUCACUAAAACUGGUCAACCAUCCACCUCACUGCACUACCGUGGAAUGACUUAAACUUUGCGAGAGCAUUUGGGCCCACAGUCACCGCUGGCUGAAGCAGAUGGGAUGCCUGGUCCAAGGUCACGAUUAUUAAAGUAGACACACGGGGCACUUUGACCCACCUGUAGUACAUUUCUUUCACAGCAAGGCAGUGCAACCGGUAGCACAUCGGGCUCUUUUAGAUGCUGCUCCAGCCUUGGUCCGGUGGAUCAUGCUUGGUUUAGAAGCUGGGUUGUCUUUUUCCUGCCCCCAGUCCUGUCUUUGCUUUUAUAGUGCGUCAUACACCACGUAGAACCGAGCCAGGUUCCUGCCAUGUGGACGCUGUUCCUGCCUGAGAGUCUCUUAGAGGAAGGCUGGGAACACUGUGUGGAAAGACUGGGCAUCUCUGCAGGCAGAGCUGAAUGGAUGUGAAACCCCUGUGGGCAUGUGCUUCCGAGUUCCUCAGCAGGCAUUUGUGUUUUUUGGUAGAAAGUUUGCCUUUUUUUUUUUUUUUUUUUUAAGACAAGGUCUCAUUCUGUCACCCAGGCUAGAGUACAGUGGUGUGAUCAUAGCUCACUGCCGUCCUUGAACUCUCAGACUCACGUGAGCCUCCUACCUCAGCCUCCUGAGUAGCUGAGACUACAGGCGCAUGCCGCCACCCCUGGCUAAUAUUUUUAUUUUUUGCAGAGACAGGGGUCUCACUACAUUGCCCAGGCUGGUCUCAAACUCCUGGCCUCAAGCAAUCCUCUCACAGCCUCCCAAAGUGCUGGUAUUACAGGUGUGAGCCACCACACCUAACAAAAGUUUGCUUUUUAUCUAAAAUGACCCAGGCAUUGUCACUGUACUGCUAUUUUUUUUUUUUAAUGUUGUUGUUUUGUUGUUGUUGUCGUCGUUAUAUAGAUGAGGGCUUCCUGUGUUGCCCAGGCUGGUUUCUGACGCCUGGCCUCGCCUCCUUAUACACCAGGACAGCAGGACUGAGCCACCACACUACCCAACUGCUUUUAUCUCAGUGAAUGAAAAUGACACUUGCCUGGAGGCUUCCCCUCAUCUACCCCCAUGUUUCUCUAUUUAUUCCUCAGUUAAGUGGGCAGACCAACAUCCACCUCAGCAAAAACUUCUUCCUGACGAAUCGCGCCAGGGAGCGCUCAGACACCUUCAUCAACCUCCGGGAGGUGCUCAACCGCUUCAAGCUGCCGCCAGGAGAGUACAUUCUCGUGCCUUCCACCUUCGAACCCAACAAGGAUGGGGAUUUCUGCAUCCGGGUCUUUUCUGAAAAGAAAGCUGACUACCAAGCUGUCGAUGAUGAAAUCGAGGCCAAUCUUGAAGAGUUCGACAUCAGCGAGGAUGACAUUGAUGAUGGAUUCAGGAGACUGUUUGCCCAGUUGGCAGGAGAGGAUGCGGAGAUCUCUGCCUUUGAGCUGCAGACCAUCCUGAGAAGGGUUCUAGCAAAGCGCCAAGAUAUCAAGUCAGAUGGCUUCAGCAUCGAGACAUGCAAAAUUAUGGUUGACAUGCUAGAUUCGGACGGGAGUGGCAAGCUGGGGCUGAAGGAGUUCUACAUUCUCUGGACGAAGAUUCAAAAAUACCAAGUAAGAUCCCAGAGAUGCGGGUGGAUCUGUGUUGGGGAACAUUCUGUUCAUAUGCUUUAAGAUGCAGCAACUCCUGCACAGAGUGGAGAAACAUUUCCAAGGGGAUUGGGAUUUUACCCAUAAUGAAGCUCAGAGUGAGUAAAGAUGGGGCUGAGGAAAUGCAAACAAAAAACCAACCAGGACUUUGCAGGUGAAAUGGCCUAUUCCCUUCCUCCUGAUUAUUGGGAUCAUCUAAAGGCCACCAUCAAGGGUUUCCUGAAAAGGGUUUUUGACAGCUAAAGUACAAAAAUUAUAUAAGACAAGAACAUGGACCUAUGGGCGUUGGCUGGCUGAUUUGAUGGGCGUAUUUACAAACCAGCUCACAGACAGAAGCAAAAUACUAUUAGUUAUUUAAGGCAGAAACAUAAGUGAUUCUUCCAAGGCCAAACUAGAGGCACAGAGCUGGAAAAACUUCAUCCCCACUCAGCACAUACUAGGGAGGUAACUUGCCAGCUUUGCUUUGGGUCAUAGUUCUUACAGCUAACUUAUGUGUUCCAGAAAAUUUACCGAGAAAUCGACGUUGACAGGUCUGGUACCAUGAAUUCCUAUGAAAUGCGGAAGGCGUUAGAAGAAGCAGGUUUCAAGAUGCCCUGUCAACUCCACCAAGUCAUCGUUGCUCGGUUUGCAGAUGACCAGCUCAUCAUCGAUUUUGAUAAUUUUGUUCGGUGUUUGGUUCGGCUGGAAACGCUAUUCAAGAUAUUUAAGCAGCUGGAUCCCGAGAAUACUGGAACAAUAGAGCUCGACCUUAUCUCUUGGCUCUGUUUCUCAGUACUUUGAAGUUAUAACUAAUCUGCCUGAAGACUUCUCAUGAUGGAAAAUCAGCCAAGGACUAAGCUUCCAUAGAAAAACACUUUGUAUCUGGACCUCAAAAUUAUGGGAACAUUUACUUAAACGGAUGAUCAUAGCUGAAAAUAAUGAUACUGUCAAUUUGAGAUAGCAGAAGUUUCACACAUCAAAGUAAAAGAUUUGCAUAUCAUUAUACUAAAUGCAAAUGAGUCGCUUAACCCUUGACAAGGUCAAAGAAAGCUUUAAAUCUGUAAAUAGUAUACACUUUUUACUUUUACACACUUUCCUGUUCAUAGCAAUAUUAAAUCAGGAAAAAAAAAUGCAGGGAGGUAUUUAACAGCUGAGCAAAAACACUGAGUCACUCUCAAAGGACACGAGGCCCUUGGCAGGGAAUAUUUAAAGCAACUUCAAGUUUAAAACACAGCUGUUGAUUCUACCAAACAACAGUCCAAGAUUACCAUUUCCCAUGAGCCAACUGGGAAACAUGGUAUAUCAUGAAGUAAUCUUGUCAAGGCAUCUGGAGAGUCCAGGAGAGAAGACUCACCUCUGUCGCUUGGGUUAAACAAGAGACAGGUUUUGUAGAAUACUGAUUGGUAAUAGUAAAUCGUUCUCCUUACAAUCAAGUUCUUGACCCUAUUCUGCCUUAUACAUCUGGUCUUACAAAGACCAAAGGGAUCCUGCGCUUGAUCAACUGAACCAGUAUGCCAAAACCAGGCAUCCAAUUUGUAAACCAAUUAUGAUUAAGGACAAAAUAAGCUGUUUGCCACCUCAAAACUUUAUGAACUUCACCACCACUAGUGUCUGUCCAUGGAGUUAGAGGGGACAUCACUUAGAAGUUCUUAUAGAAAGGACACAAGUUUGUUUCCUGGCUUUACCUUGGGAAAAUGCUAGCAACAUUAUAGAAAUUUUGCCUUGUUGCCUUAUCUUCUUCCAAAUGUACUGUUAAAUAAAAAUAAAGGGUUACCCCAUGCAAUCACACCAUGCCAUGUUUUCCUUCCUGGAGGGCAGCCCCACAGGACGGUUUAUGAGCACACGAUUAUAGCUUGUUUCUACUUUAACAAGGUAUGCUGCCUCUGUAAAUUCAUGUAUUCAAAGGAAAAGACAUCUUGCCUAUAAUUAAAAUGUGGAACUAUAAAAUUUUUUAAAAUCCAA